rnacentral:rRNA from 1 species
GAUGAACGCUGGCGGCGUGCUUAAUACAUGCAAGUCGAACGGACGGGCGCUGAUCUUGUGGGGUGGUUGUGAGGCGAACGGGUGAGUGACACGUGAGUAACAUGCACCUGUAAUUGGGAUAAAUUCUGGAAAAUGGGGAUCAUACAGGGUAGGAGAUCCUGAUGCGCGGUGGGGGAUGGAAAGAUUCGGCGGUUGGGGCUGGAAUCGCGGCUUAUCGGCUUGAUGGUGGGGUAGUGACUUACAAAGGCUUUGAAGGGUAGCCGGCCUGGGAGGGUGGACGGCCACAAUGGUACUGAGAGACGGCGCAGUCGCCUACGGGCGGCAGCAGGCGGAAUAUUGCACAAGGGGCGGAAGCCGGAUGCAGAAACGCCGCGGGCGGGAUAACUGCCUUCUGAGUGUAAACCGCUUGCGCCUGUGACGAAGCGUGAGUGGCCGUAAUGGGUAAAGAAGCACCGGCUAACUACGUU